GAGUUGCGUCCCUCUGUAACACUAGUGUGAGACAAUGCCGAUUGGGCGGCGUGUAAGUGUCUCGUGGGCUUGGCCAUUAUGGGUCGCGUAGAAAGUCUGUCCUAUCCAGAUCAGGGAUCCGUUCAGGGGACUAGGGGAACUUAGUCAACGGAUCGGUUAGAGUGAGAGGGAACGCCUGAGGCUGGAAACAGAGCAGGGAAAACUCUCCGUCCUUGAUGGUGGAAGGACCGCAGACUUGAGCGGUUCGGAC
rnacentral:SRP_RNA from 1 species